GCCCUUAUAGCUCAGUGGUAGAGCGCAGCACUUGUAUUUCCCACUUACAGGUUUAUGCUGAGGUCCAUCGUUCAAUCCGGUGUGGGGGCA